rnacentral:rRNA from 1 species
GAUGAACGCUGGCGGCGUGCCUAAUACAUGCAAGUCGAGCGAACGGACGAGAAGCUUGCUUCUCUGAUGUUAGCGGCGGACGGGUGAGUAACACGUGGAUAACCUACCUAUAAGACUGGGAUAACUUCGGGAAACCGGAGCUAAUACCGGAUGAUAUUUUGAACCGCAUGGUUCAAAAGUGAAAGACGGUCUUGCUGGCACUUAUAGAUGGAUCCGCGCUGCAUUAGCUAGUUGGUAAGGUAACGGCUUACCAAGGCAACGAUGCAUAGCCGACCUGAGAGGGUGAUCGGCCACACUGGAACUGAGACACGGUCCAGACUCCUACGGGAGGCAGCAGUAGGGACUCUUCCGCCAUGGGCGAAAGCCUGACGGAGCAACGCCGCGUGAGUGAUGAAGGUCUUCGGAUCGUAAAACUCUGUUAUUAGGGAAGAACAUAUGUGUAAGUAACUGUGCACAUCUUGACGGUACCUAAUCAGAAAGCCACGGCUAACUACGUG